rnacentral:rRNA from 1 species
UACAGAGGGGGCAAGCGUUGUUCGGAAUUACUGGGCGUAAAGGGCGCGUAGGCGGCCUUCUAAGUCGAACGUGAAAUCCCCGGGCUUAACCUGGGAACUGCGUUUGAAACUACAAGGCUAGAGUGUGGCAGAGGGGGGUGGAAUUCCACGUGUAGCAGUGAAAUGCGUAGAGAUGUGGAGGAACACCGAUGGCGAAGGCAGCCCCCUGGGUUAACACUGACGCUCAGGCACGAAAGCGUGGGGAGCAAACAGG